UGCAAAUGUUGUCAAGUUCAGAAGUGAUGGCAAACUUAUGCUUUUGACAACUCCAGAUGGAAAAAUUCAUGUCCUUGAUUCAUUCCGUGGCACAAGCAAGAGAGUCGGCAGCCAUGAAAGUAGUGGCGUUGAGCUAGAUGACUUUGGUUUCAUUGAUGACACACAAUCUCCUACGCAAGCGGAAUAGAAUAAAGAUACUAACACUUUUUGUGAUGCUACAUGUGAUGUAAGAAGUAUUUUGAUUUGUAAAGUAGCAUUUUAGAAUUGGAAACUAGUUUUUUUUUUAGGUGGAUAUUAGAAUUAGAAUAUUAUGUGCAACUAAAUUUGCUAUUGAAAUGUAUAAUCUUUGUAGUGAUAUUGUAUUGUUAUGCAAUUAUUAUUUAAUUCUUUUAAAAAU